rnacentral:piRNA from 1 species
UNGGCAGCAGAAUGCAGGUUCCUCGUUGC